rnacentral:rRNA from 1 species
AUUGAACGCUGGCGGCAGGCCUAACACAUGCAAGUCGAGCGGAUGAAGGGAGCUUGCUCCUGGAUUCAGCGGCGGACGGGUGAGUAAUGCCUAGGAAUCUGCCUGGUAGUGGGGGAUAACGUCCGGAAACGGGCGCUAAUACCGCAUACGUCCUGAGGGAGAAAGUGGGGGAUCUUCGGACCUCACGCUAUCAGAUGAGCCUAGGUCGGAUUAGCUAGUUGGUGGGGUAAAGGCCUACCAAGGCGACGAUCCGUAACUGGUCUGAGAGGAUGAUCAGUCACGAGACAAGUGGGCCACGGUGACGACUGAUACGGGAGGAAGGAGUGGGGAAUAAUGGAAAAGUGGGUGCAGCCUGAUCCAGCCAUGCCUGGUAGGUGAAGAAGUUGUUCAGAGAAAAAAGCAAUUUAAGUUAGGAGGAAGGGCAGUAAGUAAAUACCUGGCUGUUUUGACGUUACCAACAGAAGAAGCCCCGGCUAACUUCGUGCCAGCACCCGGAGUAAGAGAACACGUCUAACC